UUGCAUGGCUGUUACGGUUAUACUGCUGGAUCUUAGGAGUAUGAAUACACAGUCUUGCUAGAGAAAAAGAGUGCACAGGGCCACCAGUCUUUUAAGUACAGACUGUGCCGGUAGUAUAAAACUCACACAUUG
ensembl:snoRNA